GGCCUCAUUGACGGCGGCAGGGCCCAGCCGCACUGCGCGGCCGUACUGGGCGGGAGGCAGGGGGAGAUGCGGUCGCCGGCGCUGCCGCGGCUCUUGGUGGGGCCGCUGCUGGUGUUGCUGGUGCUGCUGGAGGCCGCCCGCUGCGCGGAGGCUGCGGCCCCUCGCCCCCGGGACGCCCCCACCGCUUCCCCACGCCCAACGGAGGCGGCCGGCGGGGCCUCCACGCGGAGCAGCAGCGACAGUAGCAGCAGCCGCCUGGCCGGGGUGUCGGCUCCGCCCGAGCAGAGCCAGCCCAUGACCCAGCGCGCCCUGUCCGUGCUGGUUCUCGCCAGCGCCGCCCUCAUCGUCUACUUCGUGAUCCGGACCGUGCGGCUCAGAAGGCAAAAUAGAAAAACCCGAAGAUACGGAGUUUUGGAUAUGACCAUAGAAAACAUGGAGCUGACCCCAUUAGAACAAGAUGAUGAUGAUGAUGAUACAACGCUAUUUGAUGCCAGCCAUCCUCGAAGUUGGAGAAGGGAUGUCAAGAUCACUUGAAUUUUAAAUGGGCAAGAAUUUAGUGGGCAAGAAGAUAAGCACCAUUUGUCUUCAACAUGUGAGUUCCAGAGAAAUGAAGAGGAAGAGAAGUACGUGCCUUUCAAUGAAAGAACUUAAUCUUAGAACCAGAAAAGGAGACUGCUUCAAGGGCGAAAUAAGAAGCAAGAGGGUAUGCAAGUGGGGGGGAACUAAUCUAAUUUGUGUAUUUUAUGGCAUCCUUAAUAUCUUGCAAUAAGUAAUGUAUCAAUUUGUUGUAUCUUUUUGUAUAUAGAGAUUCUCAAUAUAUAGCCUAUGGGGAGAGAGUACUAACUGUGAAAAGAUAAAAACCUAUUUAAAAUGGAUAUUACUUGUAAAACAGGGUAUUUUUUGCUUGUUAGAAGUCUUGUAUGCCAUUAAGCGUGGUAUACAUUUUUUUUCUACAGUAACCUGGAAUGUUAUUUUUUUCUUCUGAUAUUAAAUUGUAAGUAAAUAAAGCCACUGUGGAACUUCUCAGAAUUGUUACAACAUUAUUUUAAUUGAGGAGAUGAUUUAUUGCUUGCCAAUAAAAAGCCAAACCACUGCCUUCUGUGUUGAGAAUUUAAACAACUGAAUUAACAUGUUUUGUUCAUGUAAACUUCAGUGAAAAAUAAAAUGUGUUUACAGUGCUCCUAGCAUUUAGUGUGAUGUUCCAACAUUAUACAUUUUAAGGAUACUUGGGAUAUUAAUAUAAUUAUGCAAAACAUGGUAUUGCAACAUCUUCUUGCUUUUGAGACUCCUGAUUGCAACUGUUGAGUUAAUUUUCUGUGAGAUCUGUCUUCAAAUUGUGUGAACAGAUGUGGCUCAGUGACUUUAGGAUCUUGCUGUGUGAUGUCAGUAUUCAGACCUAUAGUGAAGCAGAGAUAAGCCUUUGGGAAAAUUCUAAAUAUUCUGUAACUCUAAAAUGAAACACUGACAUUAGAAGGAGCUGUUACUGAAAUGUGUGGUAGUACUUUCAUGAAUGUAGUUGACAUAGAGCAGUUAUGUUUAGUUUUUGCCUAGUGCCAUAAAAAUUAGAACAGUCUUUAAGACCUGGAAGAUAUACUUUUUUAAAUGUGUUGCAGUUUCUACCAUAAUCUUGAUAAUGUAGACAAAAUGUUCAAAUUCUAGUUUAGAAUUAAUGUGUAAUUUUUUGCUAAUUCCUUAUAUCCACAUAUUACAAGGCGUUGGGUUUCUACAGCAGCAUUGGUGGGGGUGACUAUGUAUCCCAAAAGUGCCUGAGUUACGGGUUACAGAGAAAGAGGAAUCAUUUUUCCUGACUCUUCACCCUCUUGGUGUUUGAACAAAAUUGGAGUACUUUUCUUUGAGGUAAUUUCAACAGUGAUAGGGUGGGGAGGGAAUCUGCUGCAGAUUUUCUUUACUUCUGCCAGCUGAUCUGUUAUAUUGAAACCUUCUUACUGCACUAAUAAUAGCUCAGAUGAGGUCAAAUCAGCCUCCCAAGCUAAUUUUCACCCACGGCUGCCCAUGUGCCACAUACAGCUAGGAAAUAGAUUGUAUUUAUAAUACAUGUAAGUUUUUAUUUUGCUUCCUGUUGUACCUAACUUUUUCUGCUUAUAUGUAAAGAUAAAACUGAAAUGGAAAUACAACACUAAUUCUUGGAACUGCUUAGCUGAGGAAUCUGGAGACAUAGUAAAGAAUAACUGGGUUGUAGACACUAGGUGAGAGAACCGUAAAUGACAGAAGGCAAAGUAUGCUGUUUCCAUAUAUAGAGGGGAUCAUCAAUGUUAAACUAAACAUAAUUGAAAUAUUUCAGAAGUAUAGACUGUCUUCCUGACAUCCUAGAAUUCAAACCUGUAGAAUCUUUCUAGGCUUUGAGCCACUCUGGAGACGUGUUAUCCUUGUUAUGCACAGAUAUUUGAACUGUUUAAGCAAGUUGAAAUCAUUGGAAAUGCAAUCAGUCUUUAAGCUCUUGUAUAUUAUGCUGCAGGUAAAACUUGAUGUUUUCCUACAGAAAAAAAUAAAAUUGAGCAGAUUAUUUAUGUUUCCAAACAAAUUUUCUGAUGGAAAAAUAAAACCAGCCACAAAUUUUCUCAAAAAUUUUAUAUAGGCUUCUUUCACCCAUGCCUCCAAAAUUAUGAGGCUCUCUUUACAGGAAAACCAUCUGUAAAGCAAUCAUAUGACUGGUAUUAAACUUUAGAACAGUUUUGAUUUCUGAUAUGUCCAAUACCAUGUGGUUAAUGGAUCAAGCUUCCUUGGCCUUACUCAGCUUGUAUCUAAUUUAAGUAGCUGAAUUGGUUCUCAUUGCAUUUGCAGACACUCGUUAGAAAAUAAAAAUGGUUUUGUGUAUCUUGGUCUUAACUGUUGGAAAUUGCAGCUGUGAGUUAUGUAAGCCCCUGUUGAUAGGUGUAACACCAGCAGUACCAUUUCCAACUACUUGUGAAAAGCUGUUCCUAGAGCUGUUCUAACAUACUUCCAAAAAUUUGGGAAAGAAUAUGCCACCACAGAGGCCAGUAACUGACCCAUACAUAACAGAACUGAAGUUUAUUCCAAGCUUAUUUAUCACUUAAGAAAAAUGAAGACAAGUAAUUAUGAAAUGUGUAACUAAGUAGCUGUGUAUGGAAAAUUUUAUCCCCAUUUGAACUAAAUAUUAAUAGGCUAGUAAAGAA